UACGGAGGGUGCAAGCGUUAUCCGGAUUUAUUGGGUUUAAAGGGUCCGUAGGCGGUUUUGUAAGUCAGUGGUGAAAGCCCAUCGCUCAACGGUGGAACGGCCAUUGAUACUGCAAGACUUGAAUUAUUGGGAAGUAACUAGAAUAUGUAGUGUAGCGGUGAAAUGCUUAGAGAUUACAUGGAAUACCAAUUGCGAAGGCAGGUUACUACUAAUGGAUUGACGCUGAUGGACGAAAGCGUGGGUAGCGAACAGG
rnacentral:rRNA from 1 species